UACAGAGGUCUCAAGCGUUGUUCGGAUUCAUUGGGCGUAAAGGGUGCGUAGGCGGCGCGGUAAGUCGGGUGUGAAAUCUCGGGGCUUAACUCCGAAACUGCAUUCGAUACUACCGUGCUUGAGGACUGGAGAGGAGACUGGAAUUUACGGUGUAGCGGUGAAAUGCGUAGAUAUCGAGAGGAACACCUGCGGCGAAGGCGGGUUGCUGGGCUGACACUGACGCUGAGGCGCGAAAGCCAGGGGAGCGAACGGG
rnacentral:rRNA from 1 species